ACAGAUGCCAAAGGACAGGACAGUGAUUUCCCUGCUGGGGGAGUAAGGGAGAAAAACAGCUGCCUGGCCGAGGAUGCAGAACAGCAAUAAAGCUCCAUUUCCUGUCCCCAUGCUCCGGCUACUUCUGGAACCAGUGGAGUGACUUCAUGCAAGGAACCCACCAGAAUUUGAUGUUGGACACUGCCGAGAUGGUCAGUCAAGGAUUAUACAUUUUUGCUUUACUUGAGUGCUGCCUUUGUACUUCUGUUUAUUCCUUCCCUUUGAGGAUGGCUGGAGCAGACAUUCAUCCUGUAAGACACUUGCCGUAGCAAACCCUGAUGUUAGCCUAGGAUCCUGCAGCUUUCUGCAUUCAUCCCAUGCAGUGCCUUCCUCUGCAAGUAGCAGAUCUCCCCGUGCUAUGGCAGAGCAACCAUCAGCUUGCAAGGAGCUUCCAGGGGAAACCGAGCCCUUCCUGUCCAAAUCCGUGAUUCUGAAAAUGUUUCGGCUGUUACUGAGCUGUGAACGUGUCUAAAAUCCAUCAAUCUGUCUUUUGUUUCUCAAGCAGGAGGAGCUGCCGUUAUGGUGUCAAUCCGCCACAAGUUUGGUGGAGUCAUCCUUUUUUUUUUCCUUCUUUUUUGACGUGACUCAAGUGAAAAUAAGGAUACCCGCAGUCACAUCACCUCAUGGCUGGAUCUCUUUGUGCCAGCUCUGUUUUCAUCUCAAAUGAAAGCUCUGCCUGCUCACCCAAAGCUGUCUAGUUUUUCCCCGCAGGUCUGUUUGUUUUCUGAACGGUCCCUUGCUAACCUCGUGCAUGUGGGAAUUGCUACGAAAUAGAAAUAGGCUUGGACUUGUUCACAUCCACUUGCUGUUUGCAAGAUGAAAACACAUAGAAAAGCGAUUUAGAGUGACAGAACGCUUUUUAAUUUAAAAAAGAAAAGGUUUUCUGGAUGCCUAGAACUUAAUCCGAACCAUCAAACAGAGCAGAAGCGUUGUAUUUUAGACUCACUGACAUCUCCUGUGUGGCACAGUGCUGUUAAAUCCUUCGUGUGUCUGCUAGGAAUCUAAAAUUCUCCAAGCAAUUAAAGCAAAUUAAUUCAAGGCAGCAGUGCACGUCAAGCGUUUUCUAUAAAUGUUUUCCUGAUUUAGACCUCUUUCUGUACUGUAUCUAAAUUGUCAGAUGUUUCAAAGAACUAUUUUAUUUCCUUUUGUGACUUCCCCCCCGCCACAGACUUGCUGAGAAUUCUCCUCCAGCUAGAAAAGGAUACAUUUGGGCUUCCC
rnacentral:lncRNA from 1 species